GCGGAUGUAGCCCAGUGGAUCAAGGCAGUGGAAUGUGAUCACCCCGUCUCGCGAGCAGAAACGGAGA
rnacentral:tRNA from 1 species